rfam:Staphylococcus sp. HMSC078E07 Staphylococcus_spHMPREF2905-1.0_Cont50.1, whole genome shotgun sequence.
AACUUAUCGAGAGAAGUGAAGGGAUUUGGCCCAAUGAAACUUCAGCAACAGGCUUCAUAAAUAUAAAGUACUGUGCUAACUCCAAGAGGAUAAUAAAUAACCUCAAAGAUAAGUG